rnacentral:ncRNA from 1 species
UAAAAUAGAGGUAGCGAUGCAAAUGAGUACAAUUUGGAGAAGGCAUUCAAUGAAGAAUUGGAAAGGUAACCAUCGCCGAAUGGAUAUAUAAGGCAUUAUAUAUUCAUGGGGCUAUAGAGAAUAUCUAUAUCACUCCCACAUUAUAAUGAUGUGGAGGCGCUA